GGUCAGCCCGCUCUGGAAGCACUGACUUACUGUGGAGACAGGAGGUCUUCCAAAAGCCUGCUUCAGGAAAGGGAAGCAUAGCUAGCCAGGCGCUGAUGACUCUUCCCUCACACCAGUCCUUGGAACAAUUACUUCUGAACUUUGGUCCAGAAGGAUGAGGCUCCACCGUCCAUCAAAGAUCCAUUUGGCCCAUGCUGGAGGGGAGCAGGCUGGAAAAGGAAGGAUCACUCCAACACAGGAGGUGACUAAGAGGAGGCAACUGUCAUGGUAAAAAAUAGUUAAGUAUUGAUUAACAUCUUCCCUUAGCAGGAAUGUUAUCACACACAAACUCUGAGAAUCGGAAGGCCCACACCACUCUAAAGGGAGUGAAUUAUGCUUCCUGUAGACCUAAGAGCCUAGAUAGCCUCAUGCAUCUACCUGAGCAGAGGCUGUCCCACAAGGGCAGUCUGCACUUCACUAAACUGAAUGAGAAUUCUCCAGAUUCGGAAAGACCAGCGUACCCUCACUUUGCUCUUCUUUUCUUUGCUAUAUGCUGGCAUUAAAAAAUGUCACCUAGGUUGCUAAAAGACCUUGUUCUUGCUGGCUCUUUUUUUUUUUUUUCCAAACUUGACCAAAGCUAGAGUUAUCCGGUAAGAGGAACAUCAACUGGGAAUAUGCCUCCAUUGGAAAGGCCUGUAGGGACAUUUUCUUGAUUAAAGAUCAGGGUAGGUGGUGGGAUCCCUGCCUGGCAGAUGGCCCUGGACUGUAUAAGCAAACAGCUUAGAAAGUCAGUGGGAACAAGCCGAUAGGCAGCACCCUUCCAUGGCCUCUGCAUCAGCUCCUGCCUCCAGGUUCCUGCUUUGAGUUCCUGCCCUGACUUUCCUUCAUGAUAGACUAUGAACUGUCAGAUGGAACAAAUCCCUCCCUCUCCAAACUGCUUCUGAUCAUAGUGUUUAUGUUAGUCAUAGAAAACAGUCAAGGAGGGCCCUUGUGGAUGUCUGCUGGUGGUAGCUGGUUUGAGAUAUCAGACCUGAGUGUCAGAGACCCCAAAACACUGUCUGAAGCUCUCUCCCUCUCUUUCUCCCUCCUUCUCUCUCUAAUGCCUUUGUCUGGUGUCUCUCAAUAAUAGCUACUGUAACUCAAUCUGAAGAAAAAUACAAAGGCUCCAUUGACUACUGUGAUCAGGGACCCCGAAUCAAGUUUCCUGAGGUUGUAGCCAUCUUUUCUUUCUCUCCAUUUUGCCUCCUGUGGCCAUGACCUCAUUCAACAGUUACCAACACUGAAGACUGCUGGAGAAUACCGAGACAAUAUGUCCUAUUCUCCAAACCAAAGAAGGAGAGAGGGGAGAAGAAAGAGGAAGGAGGAGGAAGAGGGGUAGGAGGGAGAGAGAGAAGUAAAGAGAUGCAGAGAGAUAGAGGCGGCAGAGAGACAGACAAGGUUAACAUGUGUUCUCAUGAGGCCACAGGAGCUGCCCGUUGCCAGAAUUUGACGUCAUGUUGAGUGUUGUCAACCACACAUCAUUUCAUACAACAGUGUGGCUGGUCCCUUGCAUAUGUCCCCACAGCAGCAGAGACUUUUCUGGCUGCAUCUCCCUCUGCUGCAAAGAUCAGGAGAGACUGUUCUCUCAUGCGCAAGGUUUGCAUCCUCUAGCGAUCCUGGCUAGCUGCUUUGGAGCCACUCAUCGCCAGAUUGUCCCCUCUGCUCACCUUUAAGGUCAUCGAGGCUGGCUGCUCUCAUCUUUUCCAAGUAGUUGGCACAGUUCUACUCAUGUCCAUAGGAACAAGAGGAUGCCAUCUCUUUAGGAUCUGUCUUGGAGACAGGGCGUUUUCCACAAAGCAUCACCCGAUCCCACAUCCCCAGACCCCACUCAGCAGCCAAUAACCUUGGGCAGUGUUUCUCUCCUCUCCGGGUCUCAGGGACAUCAAUCGUAACCAAAGUGAUCCAGAUUAUUGGAUCAUAAAGAUGGUGAAUGUCAGUGGAGUGAUCCACACACAGCACUCAUCACCAUUGCUGAAAUUCUGGAUUUCCAAAAAGCACUGUGUGACCCUUCUAGUAUGUCCUGCAAGCUCCCAGGGCUGUGUUCUUGGUCACCGAUGCUGGGAAGAGAUGGGAACAGACUUCUCCCUUUUGUUUCGACUCUUUAGUCAUCCUUGUCAUCAACAACUCCUUCCAUGAUAGUCUUAGAGUAGGUACUCUGCUCUGUCAUCUGCAGAAAAGACUCCCCAAUAUCCAUUUUGUCGCCUGGAAAGAAAAGGACCUGAUAACACACGUGUCAGGACCUAUUUUCAGUUCUUUGCAAGUCAGAGCUUGCCUCCAUGCCUUUUCCAGUCCCUCAGGACUUUUAGAUAUACUGUUUAAAUAUUUAUAAACUGUUACAAUUAUUUAUUAAAGGUUUAUGUUGUUAUUAUAUUUAGUACGGAGUAUUCAUUUCUCCCUCCAAAAAUAACAGGACUUUCCAUUAAACUAUGUGCGUUAACGAUGCAGUAAAUUGUCUUUUAAAGCAAUAGAGAAAGUUUCUCUCUCCUUUGACAAUCCUAAGUAUCCUUAUUUAAAAGUAGGGAUCCUUCCUCACUGGAGAAUGCAUCGCUCCCGAUUCUCUGAAUGCUGUUCUAUGCGGACUGAGGAAAUGUUUAGUGCUUAUGCAGAGAAAUUCUUGCCUUAGAAAUCAUUGUCCAGCUGAAAGCAAUGGAUGCUCUGGAGUUGGCCAGUUCCUUCUGUGCACGCUGCUGUUGUGUGCAUACAAGUGAGCACGAGUGCGUCUUUUCAAGAGUGUCUCAAAGUAGAUCAGCCUUGCUUCCUCCCUCCCUAGCUUUCUUCCCUUCUGCCUUCCUCUCUUCCAGUUUAACCCAAUCUGUGCUAACAGUGAGAAUGAUGCUAAAUGCAAACAAACAAACAGAAACCAGAUGAGAAGCUCUACUCUGAGGAGCCGGGUAGUUAAGAGCACUCGCUCGCUCUUCCAGGGGAAGAGGCUUCAGUUCUUAGUGCCCACAUUGGGCAGCUCACAACCAUCUACAGCUCCAGCUGCAGGGGAUCUCGCAACCAACUGACACCUGCAUUUAUGUGCACAUACCUGGACACACACACACAUACACACACACACACACGCACACACACACACACACACACACACAUUUAAAACUAAAAUCAAUCUUACGUAAAAAGAAAUCCUACCCUGAAAGAUUUGCAGGCUCCAAUGGCAGAUGAAAAUCAACAAAAGCAAUGUCAUAUGAACGGAAACUCGCAACAGAAAGGAGCAAACAGAAGUCCACCAGGAAAAGGAAGAAGGGUCCACACGGCAGAAGACUAGUUCUUUGGUGUAUGUAUCAUCUGUACACCCCGCAUGAGGCUAGAUUUAGAGAAAAGCAGCUCGCUUUUCCUUGGAGUGAAAUGUCUCUUCCUUCACUAGGUUGUCAAGCCACCGGUCUGGAUUUGUUGCUUAGGCUAGUUGACCACUGCUCCUACCUGCAGAGACUUUGUCCUGUAGGGACAUAUAGUAAUAUCUGCAGCCGUUUGACAGAUGAGUAAGAGGACAUUGGCAUGUAGAGGUUGGAGCUGAGAUGUGCUGCCAAACGCCCAUAGAAGCUCUCAAUACAACCCUCCAUCCCUGAAUGUCCACAAUGCCCAGAUUGGUGCUGAGAAAAACUGGGCAGCUUCUGGAGGACUCUGAAGGGUUCCUGUGAGCCUGUCAUGAAAUUCCUGGAGGAAGCAUUGCAAAGGCAAGGGCCAGAAUGUUCCUGAGGAGACUGAAGGUUAUUUUGAAAGCUGAUUUUUUCCCCACCCCCACGUCUAGAAACCAAGAGAUCAGGAUUCUAGACUUGACUCAUCCAUCAGCAGAUGCUAUGACUUGGGUAUGAUUCUGGAAAGCCCCUGGAAUGCCCCACAGGGAAAUAAAAGGCCAAGGAUGCGGAGUGUUUCAAGGAUCUCCUUGGAGCAGAAAGAAUUAAAUAAAAACCCAAUGAACCUGAGCUGGAUCGGCUGCCCUCUUGUUCCUGGCAGGUCCCAAGGCAUCCGAGAGGCACCACGGGACUUCAUACAUUGUGGAUGUGUGUGCUCACCAUGGAACGGAAGGAGAGAGCAAGAUGAGCCUGGUUAUGCAGUCCCUGAGGAUUAGAGGCCAUGGUGGUCCCUAUUGUCUGUGGGUGAAAACUGAGGGCUACCCCCCCUUCCCCCUCUGCUGGAAACUUAGGAGCACGCUCACUGGUAAAAGUCCUGAGACAACUGCUACGAUUUCCAACCUCUGGCUGUACCGCCUCUCUAACCUCCAGAUGAGAGUUCCAUUCUUUUCCUUGGAAAUCUAAUUCCCUCUGCUUGCUGCUCAGGGUCCUAACACACACUGCCAUGGGCCCCUGGGCCAUGUUCUGGAGGCAGGGGCUAUUACCUUGAUAACCCGAAAGGAAUCUAUCUCCGGAAGUCAGCCAUCUUUCACCCUGCACUUGAACCUGCAGGACUCUAUCUUGCUUGCUUGUAAAGGAAGCUGUCUGAAGGCCACAUAUAAAUUCAUACAUUCCUAGAAUUUAGUUUAGAGGACCCAGAGGGGCUCCUGAAGGAACAGACCGAUUUCAGACCUGCUCCGGUGCCCCGGAGAGUCAGCAGGCUGCCAGUCCAUUCUUCCCACUCAGAGAGUUGGGGGCGCUUACGACAUAAUUGAAGCAUUAGUAACAGUUUCUUUCCCCUUCUCCAGGCGUUCCCAGAGGUCUGCCGUUUGCUUUGCAGGAACCGUUGGCAUUAAAUACGCUGGGUGUCUGCACAGCAGUGAGGUGGUUAAUUUUGACUGGAUAUUAUGCUCUAUAACCACUUGGCAUUUAACUUGAAAAAUGACUUUCUGCAUCACCUGUCAGCGUACCAGUUCUCAUCAAAUAAGUGAGUGAGAAAAAAUUUUAAAUUUCAAUUUCCUGAUGCUAUUAGACACUACUUCUUCCAUACUUAAACAGUUUAGCAGGGCAUGGGCAGGCUUUGGUAUGCAGGCCGUGUUUCGCGCUACAUGCCGUUACGAUAGCUAUUUUUUUGUUUAAAGGGUAAAGAGAUGCAUGGAUCUUUAUCUGGAGGUUAGAAAAAUGUAUUGCAGGAGCAAGGCCAAUCAGGCUCUGGGUAACUUUGAACUGGUACCGGCCCAGCAAUCACCGUAGAGGACUUGACACGUCAGAAGCGGCUUAGAAAUGAAGUAACGGCGGAGAGUAACCUUGCUCAGUACUUCAGGGGGAAAUUGAUCACUCAUGUUAGCAUUAAUCUAUUUUUACUGUUCCUUUGGUCAAUUAUAAUUCAGUAAACCAUGCCGGAGCCUUGCGUUCAUGAACUCUCUCUAUGUUUAAGAUUAAAACCCCAGGCUCCUCUGCUCCGGUGAAUUAGAGAUCUCUCCCACGCCUCGCAGUUCAAACAGCUUCGUUAGCGUCCCCUCAUUUUGUUUAGACAUCCUUGAAAUGAAAAGCCUGUGGAGAGAUGACAGCAUUUGAUUUCUGCAUUGCGGAGCCACUUUCUAAUAAGUCCUCGUUUUUGUACCUUGACCCAGGCAGGAACUAGAUGGGUGACUAAGUGGGGUUCUGCUGACUGCAUCCUGGGGUAGGACCCAGGCCCCAGCAGACUGCCAGCUUACUGCCCCCUCCCCCCCCCCCCGCCACUUUCAUUCUAUUUAUCAUCUGUCCAUCCAUCCAUCUGUUUCUUAAGCAGCAUUUAGCUGUGUAGCUCAGACUGAACUAACUCUAUAAUCCAGGCUGGAUUUUAUGAUCCUCCUGCCUCAGCUUCCAGUGAGCUGGGAUUCCAGGAGUAUGCCACCAUUCCUAGGCCUGUUCUGUUUCCUUAAAUGAAACAACACCAAGCCUCUCCUCACAUGCCCACCUCUGGGAUAGCUGGCACUCGGAGAAGUUAUGUGACUGUUCCCGAGAUCCUGCAUCUGAAGAAGGCUUGUGACACUGCCUGGCCUCCUGCAGUAAGAGUUGGACCAGCCUAUAAUUUUAUCUCUCAAACUUUCAUUUUCUGCUCUCUUUGUGCCUAGACUUAACUUUUCUAUAUCUUGGGGAGGUGCUCCCAGAAAGAAUAAAUCAUUUAAGGUCUUAGACACUUGGGAUAAGGUAAUCCUUUACUUUGUCCAAAAGGUGUGUGUGUACAUGUGUGUGUGUGUAAGUAUAUGUGUAUGUGUGUGCUUGUGCAUGUUUGUGCAUAUAUGUGUGUACAUAUGUAUGAAGUCACUCCUGUUUUAUAGAUGAGAACGCCCAGACUGAGUGGUCUGAACUGACCUGUGGCAGACAGAGCUGGAAAAAAAAGUGUAAAUUUCAUUUUGCACAGAAGCUAUAGUAUUAACUAUGCCAGCAAAUGCAACAGGAAGGGCUUCCAGCACGGGGCAUAUCUUCGGUUCUCGUCUGACUAUUCUCUAGCCUUGUUUUGUUACUUCACAACCCUUCUAUAAAAGCACCAGGUGACUAGCAACAAGGGACAAGGGACGUCUACUGCUGUCGGCCCGUACCAGCAACCCAGAGACCCGGCCGUCAGCCCGAGGGAGGCUAUUUGUCUCCAUCGGAAACAUGAACCAGAUUUCCCCGUAAUGGGCUCCAUAUUUUGGCCAAGCCGCCUCAGAUGUCUGGCCAAUAGAAAAGCCGUGUCCUUCCUGCACAAUUUCAGCCCUAAGAAUCUGUGACUCUCACUCCCUGGAGGCCCAGGGAACAGGAGGAGGGCGGGCUUGAAAUCAAUAAAUGGA